rnacentral:rRNA from 1 species
GACGAAGGGGCUAGCGUUGUUCGGAAUUACUGGGCGUAAAGCGCGUGUAGGCGGUUAUCCAAGUCGGGUGUGAAAGCCUUGAGCUCAACUCAAGAAAUGCACUCGGUACUGGGUGACUAGAGGACCGGAGGAGGAUAGUGGAAUUCCCAGUGUAGUGGUGAAAUACGUAGAGAUUGGGAAGAACACCAGUGGCGAAGGCG